rnacentral:rRNA from 1 species
GACGAACGCUGGCGGCGUGCCUAAUACAUGCAAGUCGAGCGCAGGAAAUCGACGGAACCCUUCGGGGGGAAGUCGAUGGAAUGAGCGGCGGACGGGUGAGUAACACGUAAAGAACCUGCCCUCAGGUCUGGGAUAACCACGAGAAAUCGGGGCUAAUACCGGAUGGGUCAUCGGACCGCAUGGUCCGAGGAUGAAAGGCGCUUCGGCGUCGCCUGGGGAUGGCUUUGCGGUGCACUCGCUAGUUGGUGGGGUAAUGGCCCACCAAGGCGACGAUGCAUAGCCGACCGGAGAGGGUGAUCGGCCACACUGGGACUGAGACACGGCCCAGACUCCUACGGGAGGCAGCAGUAGGGAAUCUUCCACAAUGGACGAAAGUCUGAUGGAGCAACGCCGCGUGAACGAUGAAGGCCUUCGGGUCGUAAAGUUCUGUUGUAAGGGAAGAACAAGUGCCGCAGGCAAUGGCGGCACCUUGACGGUACCUUGCGAGAAAGCCACGGCUAACUACGUGCCAGCCGCCGCCGUAAGAC